AAAGCUCGCCGUCGGCAGGAAACGCAUCUACCAACUCUGUUGUACUGGAUUCUCCUAAAGUGCUCAGUCCAACGUGCUGCACACAGGAAGUGCUCAGAGAGCUUGGCUUUUUCACAAUACCAACCUGCCUGUGAGGAAAGGAGGGUCGUGUCAUUGUGCCCAUCUUCCAGAUGAAGAAACUGAGGCUCGGAGAGGUGCCGUGACUUCUGUAACACGAGCAACGACUGUUUGGCGCUGUACGGUACCCAUGGUAGAGUCAAUCCCUGAAUUCAUUUCUAGCACAGUGGAGUGGUUGGAGGGAGGGCCUAGGAGUCAGAAGAUCAAGGGUUUUACUCCCAGCUCUGCCACUUGUCUGCUGUGUGACCUUGGGUACAAUCCCAAUCUUGCCAUCGCUGACCACGAGACGCUCCUGCCCUCCUGGAACUUGGAUCGGGUGUCCGCAAAAUGGAGAUAUGACAGUUUCUGGCUCCUGUUCAUCUGAUCCUUACAGACGGGUCAAGGGAACACAGGAGGGACUCCAUAAAAUCCACUGAAUGAAGUUCAGGAAAACUAUUCCGCCGGGGGACUGAACGAUCCCAGUGAGUUGUGGCAGAGAAUCAAAUUUAGCAGGAGAGUUGUCAACUUUCCAGUGUGCACUACACACCUCCUCUUCCCGCCCCUCAGUCAAUUGUAUUUAUGGAGUGCUUAAUUUAUGCAGAGCACUGUAUUAAGUGCU